AUUCCAGCUCUGUAAGCGUAUACCAAAGUUGUUGCAGUUAAAACGCUCGUAGUCGGACGUUGGCGGGCGCCUCGAGUCGGCCUCACGGUCGAUCUUGUUGGCGACCGCCUUUGUGGAGGGGGGCUUAGGUCGGUGCUUUAUUGUCAUCCCUUUGUCGCUGCCACCGUUUACUGUGAAAAAAUUAGAGUGUUCAAAGCGGGCGUUUGCCAUGAAUACAUUAGCAUGGAAUAAUAGAAUAGGACCUGGUCCUGUUUUGUUGGUUUGUGAGUAUCAGGUAAUGAUUAAGAGGGACGGUUGGGGGCAUUUGUAUUCCGGCGUCAGAGGUGAAAUUCUUGGAUUGCCGGAAGACAAACAGCUGCGAAAGCGUCUGCCAAGGACGUUUUCAUUA
rnacentral:rRNA from 1 species